UCUGCCUCCCAAGUGCUGGGAUUCAAGGCGUGUGCCACCACUGCUUGACGGUACCAUUUUUUUGUACUAGAUAUUUGUCUUGUUGCUGUGACAAAAUACUGAACGAAAGCCACUUAAAGAAAGGGGUUUAUUUUGGCGUAAAGUCCAGGAAGUCCAGUCUGUCUGCAGGGCAGCGGAAGCGGCAGCGGCUACUCAAAUCUCGUCCACGUUUGGGAAGCAGCGAGUGUGGAUACUUGUCUGUUCGUCGUUGUUCAGCAGCUCGCUGUAUACCCAUCCCCAGCUGGCCUAGAACUCACAGAGAUCUGUCCACCUCUGUAGUGCUGGCAUCAAAGGCACGUGCUACCAUGCCCAGCUGAAUGUUUCUGCUUAUUGAUCUGAUGUGACAGUCUCUCAUGCAACCCAGCCAGGCCCUAAAUUUGCAUUGCAGUCAAAGGUGUCUCCACCCAACCUCCUAAGUGUUGGAAUUACAGGCACGUACAGCUAUCCCUGGAUUUACUCUCUACUAUUUUAUACACACACACAUACAAGUGUGUGUAUGUAUGUAUGUAUAUAUAUAUAUAUAUAUAUAUAUAUAUAUAUAUAUAUACAUAUAUGUAUAUAUAUUAGGUAUAGUAGACUUUUUCUAUAUAGCCCCAGUUAUUCAGAAGACUGAAGCAAGAGGACAUUAAGUUAGAAAGCAGCCUGCACUACAUAGCAAAGUCAAGAAGAGUUUACACUGUGCAGGGAAACCCAAAAUCCCAAGGACUGAAUAUUUGCCUAGCAUUGGCAAGAGCUUGGGUUCCAAAUCUGGCACUAGC
rnacentral:lncRNA from 1 species